AUGUGGAUAAUAUAGCCUUGCAAAGUUUGCCGUUUUUCAGUCAUUUUGUAUUACAAUCUAACAUUUUGCAUCAGUUUGAUCAUCUGAUGCAAAAUGUUAGAUUGUACAGUAAUACAAAAUUACUAAAAAACGGCAAACUUUGCAAGGCUAUAUUAUCCGCAUUU